UACAGAGGUCUCAAGCGUUGUUCGGAUUCAUUGGGCGUAAAGGGUGCGUAGGCGGCGCGGUAAGUCGGGUGUGAAAUCUCGGAGCUUAACUCCGAAACUGCAUUCGAUACUGCCGUGCUUGAGGACUGGAGAGGAGACUGGAAUUCAUGGUGUAGCAGUGAAAUGCGUAGAGAUCAUGAGGAAGACCAGUGGCGAAGGCGGGUCUCUGGACAGUUCCUGACACUGAGGCAGCGAAGGCCAGGGGAGCAAACGGG
rnacentral:rRNA from 1 species